rnacentral:rRNA from 1 species
GAUGAACGCUAGCUACAGGCUUAACACAUGCAAGUCGAGGGGCAGCACAAGGUAGCAAUACUGAGGUGGCGACCGGCGCACGGGUGAGUAACACGUAUCCAACCUGCCGUUUACUCUUGGAUAGCCUUCUGAAAAAGGAGAUUAAAUACAAGAUAGUAUCAUGAGAUCACAUGUUCACAUGAUUAAAGAUUUCGGAAACGAUGGGGAUGCGUUCCAUUAGAUAGUAGGCGGGGUAACGCCCACCUAGUCUACGAUGGAUAGGGGUU